rnacentral:rRNA from 1 species
UACGGAAGGCAGCAGUGGGGAAUAUUGCACAAUGGGCGAAAGCCUGAUGCAGCUAUGCCGCGUGUAUGAAGAAGGCCUUAGGGUUGUAAAGUACUUUCAUCGGGGAGGAAAAAACAAAACUAAUAAUUUUAUUUCUUGACGUUACCCGAAAAAGAAGCACCGGCUAACUCCGUGCCAGCAGCCGCGGUAAUACGGAGGGUGCUAGCGUUAAUCAGAAUUACUGGGCGUAAAGAGCACGUAGGUGGUUUUUUUAAGUCAGAUGUGAAAUCCCUGGGCUUAACCUAGGAACUGCAUUUGAAACUGAAAUACUAGAGUAUCGUAGAGGGAGGUAGAAUUCUAGGUGUAGCGGUGAAAUGCGUAGAUAUCUGGAGGAAUACCUGUGGCGAAAGCGGCCUCCUAAACGAAUACUGACACUGAGGGUGCGAAAGCGUGGGGAGCAAAACAGGGAUUAGAUACC